GUUGCCCCUUUUAAAUUGGCUUUAAUUUAUUCGAUUUGAGAGGGCACUUUAUACGAAUAAUUUAUGCGGCGCAUCAAUAUUUCAAGAGUCAACACAGGCCAGGCGUCCAUGGAGCGAGUGAUGGGCAAGAAAGCAGCGAUACCAUGAACGUCGUAGAUGGUGGCGGCUCCAAGGCGGUGUGUUGAAAUCAUGACCAUAAUGGAAACUUGUGCGCUCCAGCACACCCGUGCUACCCUUAUUAUACCAAUCUCAAUCCAGAUCCGAACCAGAAAGGAACCCGAGCAGCACCAGCGAUGAGUUCAUUGUGCGUUUUGUGCUCCAGCUUGUCCUUGACUAUGCAUGACACACUGAUAUCAUUUUAUUGGAUGAUUCAGGCACUGAGCGAAAGAAGUGUAUCCUUUUGUUGAGCAUUGUCAAGGCUGCCGCUGGGUGGCUGGCAACUGGCAACUGGCGGCUGGCGACUGGGAACGGAAUGAAAGUCUUGUCCUGACAGCCGCGCGACAGCAUUGGGGUUGACAACGAACGACGCACUUGUGGCGCACAUCACCAUCCCAGCAGCGCCCAGGCAGCCUUCCUUCUCAUCCACAUGUAAGUGUCCUUUACCGUUGUUAGUCCCAAUGUUAAUGUGGUUGCUGUAGAUUUAAUUUAAAGUUCGCAUUGUGCGUUGUGUCAUCCGUCGCAUUCGUUCUUGUUCUCAACUGUGAU